rnacentral:lncRNA from 1 species
GUCCUGCAAGAACGAAGGUUGUCAUGCAGGUCAUGCCACGCAUCAUGUAUCGUGUUUUUCUCUCACGAUUAUAAAUCAGUGAACAUAUUACUUUCAACCAUGACUUUUCAGAUAAGCGAACAAUAGCAAAUAAUAAAGCAACCAACCUGUGAGAUGGCGGCGUAGCGAGCGAGGCCCCAGGCGGCCUCCUUGACGGCGAGCUCAGAGGGGCCAUUAGGGAUGCUGACGACGGUGCGCCACUUGGCGAACCGGGCGCCCUGCUGGUAGUAGGCGGCCUCGCGAGAGGCGAGGCCGUCGAGGCCCUGGCACCAGGACUCGUUGUUGGAGCCGGCGAGCGGGACGAGGCCCUUGUCGACCUUGAUCCCGGGCACGAUCCCUUGCUCCACCAGGAUGUCGACGAUCUUCCGGCCGUCGACGGCGGACUGGUACAGCGUCUCCUCGAACAGGAUGGCGCCGGAGAUGUACUGGCCCAGCCCCGGCGCCGUCACCAGCAGCGUCCGGUACGCCUGCCUGUUCGCCUCCGUGUUCUCCAGCCCGAUCGACGCCAGCCUCUUCCCGCACGUCGCGUUCGACUCGUCCAUCGCCAGGAUGCCUCGCCCCGGCGACGCGAUCGUUUUCUGUCGUAGAUCAUCAUCCGAUCAGCAAGCACUUGAGCUAGCAGCAGCAGGAGCGUCAGGAGGAAGAAGAAGGUAUAUAUACGUACGGCGGUCUUGACGAGCUCAUCGGCGUAGGCGGAGGCGCGGACGACGACGGAGACGGUGGCCGGCCGGGGGGAGGCGGCGGCUUGCCGGGUGGCGCCCCAUUCGGACUUCUUGGGAAGGAAGGAGGACUUGAGAAGGCUAGCAGCGACCAUCUCGUGUUGCUGUCGUCUCUUACACUUGUGAAGAAGACUAGUGGUAUUGUAUGCUAGCUAGGAUCGAUCGGAGCUUAGCUAGCUAGCUAGCUCACUCAGUGACCUCAGACAAGGUUCAGGUUCACACUACUUCACAGCAGCCGUCUUCUUCUGCUUCCUUGGAGUGAGAGAGCUGCAAUCAUCUGCCAUAUUUAAGCAAGAAGAAGCCAGCAGCGUACGUAAGCAGGGUGCACAAGAGCACAAGGGGAUCGGAUAUGAGUUGUGAGGCCGAGGAUGGCCUCUGGAUUUCGGUGGCUGACGCGUCACGGUUGCCUGCCUCUCACUGCCUUUGGCUCCAAUCCAAUCCUGUUGCUGUCACCAAUCACCAGCUUUUUUCUUGUCCUGAUUCCUGAUGCUCUAGGCCUCGUUUAGUUCCGAAAAGUGAAAAGUUUUCGGUACUGUAGCACUUUCGUUUGUUUGUGACAAAUAUUAUCUAAUCAUAGACUAACUAGGAUUAAAAAAUUCGUCUCGUGAUUUAUAGCUAAAUUGUGUAAUUAAUUUUUGUUUUUGUCUAUAUUUAAUGUUUCAUGCAUGUGCCAUAAGAUUUGAUGUGACGGAAAAUUUUGAAAACUUUUUGGUUUUUAGGGUGAACUAAACAAGGCCCUAGCUAUAGGCUGCUGUUGGCACACCAUCUUUCUUUUCUUUUUUUUUUCCUGUAAUAAUUUCCAUCCCAUUAUCCAUUUUCAUCUGUGCAUUGUAUGGUUAAAACAAAAAGGUUAAAAAAAAGCUGCAACGACGGACCCUACUGCAUGCAGCUCAGCCAUGGGAGUUGCUCACCUAAAAAAGGGUCGCCGGCCGGCCGGGACGGACAGAGACCUGCACCAAGUUCUGUGGACGCACCUCGCCAGCCACCGUCGCCCGUAGAUCCAUUCGCACGCCUGGCAAUGGCCGCCACCGUAGUUUUCGUCGAAUAAUUCGGGAGUUUCUUGGGGGCUUGUGGGUUCUGGCGAACUGGCGAUGGCAACGCCUGCUGCUGCUGCUGCUGCUGCGAGUUGUUUGUUGCCAUGCCCGGCCUGUGCUUCAUGUGACUCACUCACUCACUCAUUCAUGAAGACACAAGAAUGAGCAUUCAGGACAAAUGUUGCGGUCCUGCCUGCAGAUCAUCGGUCACGGCAAAUGAUUCAGUGAUCUUCAUAUACUGGAAGAAGAGGCCGAAGCCGAACUGUUCCUAUCUUUCAUUGAUUACAUACAUUACAUUCAAGAGAUCACUGGAUGGCAACACAUACAACUUGCUCCUGGCAACAAGACAAGAGUAAAAUAUCUCUGCAGGAACACCUGGAGCACAACACUGGUUUAACCAUGUCUGAACAAAUGCUCUGCACAUGGUAGAUUCUGAAUCCGCUAUCCCGUUCCUUCACAUGGAAGUAAUGCGAAACAUAUAAUUUACGAGUCCAGACAUGAUUUGUCCUAAUAUCACUAUCAUCCACAGCAUAUAUAUGAAAUACCUUUCCUCAUCAGUUAAGAGUUCAGAAAGAUGGAAAAGCAAGUAUCACACGAACAGCAGCAGGCAAGGAUGAAGACAAAUCAUGUAACCAUUCCUAAUAACACUGUGAUGAUAACAAAAACAAGUUUUGACAAAUCAUCAAUAAUAGAUAGGUUCAUGAGAACAUGUUUACAAAUCCGUUGAUACUUCAAAUGGAGGAGACCUAGGUGCCUACCUUAUGGACCACAGCGCAUUUUACACUGACAACAAAGAUCAGUAAUGGUACAAACCUGAAAUUACCAACAACAGUCAUGAAAAAGACAACAGGACUCCGGAGUAGCAUAACAUGUUCAUCUUCAGCACCUAAAAUUUGUCACUGGUACCACAGAAUGUUCUUUCCACUAACUACUAGUACCACUGAGAAUUUUAACAGCUAUUUUUGUGGCACUGGUACUAGAUCAACUAAUCAAUCUGUCAAAGCUGAUGAGGCACGGUAGACUUCAGAUGGGAGCAUCUGGAAAGCAGAAUCCUCUGAUAAAAACUAGGUCUCAGAAGGCUUCAAGAGUUCACCAAGAUUCACAUGCAAGCUGCUCCUCAUGGUUCGCCUUCCUGUUCCACCAGCAUUGCCCUUUCUCAUCAUCGCAGCAAACUCACUGUAAUCAAUUUGGCCAUCCUGGAAAGUGAUGUAUAAUUUAACAGCACCCAAUUAAAUGAAGAUGAGGCAACCGACAAGUACGGAGAUGGAGACGAAAAACAAGAAGGAUGAAGAAGACUAACAUUGUUCUGGUCCACAUCUUUGAUCAUAUCCUCAAGAUGAACAUCAGAAAGACCAAACUGCUCACAUGCUUGUGACAGCUCAUCGAUUGUUAUGAAGCCACUCCCGUCCUUAUCGAAGAAUGCAAAUGCUGACACCAAGCUUUCCUCCCUCUCCAGUUUAUUCAUGUGCAAUGUAGCCGCUAAGAACUCUCCAUAAUCAAUGGUUCCACUGUUAUCAAUAUCAGCCUGAUACAGAGGACAAACCCAGAUUACAAUCUCAAUGGUUCGUACAAUCAAAGGGAUGCUCCAGUAGAACUAUUUUAUUUGGAAAAUACACUUGAUAUAAUAGUAGCACUUACUGCAUCCAUCAAAGCCUGGAUUUCAGGUUCCAUCAGAUCCGAGCCCACCCUUUUCAGACCAUCCUUCAGUUCAUCAUAAGUUAUCGUCCCACUAUUGUCAGUAUCAAUCAUUUUGAACAACUCCUUUAAACCCCCAAUCUCCUCCUCAGAUAGACUUUCAGCAAUCACCUGCACAAACCAAAGAAAUGCCUCUGAAAAGAUCAAUUUCAAUGGCCAUAGCAUGUUGCACAUGCCAUUGUCACUUAUCAUUUAUCAAGCAUUUUUGCAACCUCAUGACGUGCUUAUUAUACAAGAAACUAAUUCACCUAGAGUUCUAGCAAACAUUAUUGCAGAACCCAUAGUGGGAACCUCAGCAUUACUUGUUCUAGUAUUAUGUCAGACAAUUAAGCAAAAGCAAAAAUCUCUUCUCUUCAAAGAAAAAAGAAAGGACAACACAUUUUUCUGAACCUCUGUUUUGGAAGUUACCAUUGUUGCCAUACGUGGCAUCCUGCUGCUAGUGUUAGGUGGCCUUUAACCAAUGGUUCAAUAGCUUUUGCUGAUCGGUAGUCAUAGAUUACCGUGGCUGGCAUCCAGGUAUGGCCAUAGUGCAGCUGAAGGGAUUGGAGACAGAAGGGUGGGGGUACGCGGGGACUGUUCUUUUGGAAAGAAAAAAGGUUCCAUGAAUUAUGAAAGCAGGCCAGCUUUGGCAGAACCACCAAUCCCACCAUAAAAAACAACAAUAGGAGGUUAAUAUAUAUUUAGUUUUGACUAUGCCUGGCUUCAAAAGUUUUAGUUUUAAAGCAGAUGUGUAUAAAUUGGCCUUUCUGAAAAAUAAAGGGGAGUAAUAUAUAUUUAAAGGUAAGUUCACAAAAAAAAAUCUAGUUAACAUGGAAAACAAGGCGAAAGAGAGAGGAAAAGAUACAUGCGAAGUUAACUUAUUACACAAAACUAAUAGUAGGAUGCAAGGUAGUGUUAUUGUUAUAACAGAAAUGAAGCAUGAAUCUAACAUCACCAUUAAACAAAGUUCUGAAUUUUGUUUGCAACAUAAUCACAUAUAAAAAAUGGGAUAAAAAUAUCUUACCCUCAAUGCCAUCUUCUUGAGCUUGUUCAUUGCAGAAAAGUUUUUCAGCCUUGACAAAACAGCAGAAUCAAUAGGCUUAUCAGGUGCAACAGAAUCAUCAACAAUCCAUGGAUGACCUGGCAUAGUCAAUGUUAAUAAGAAUGACACAGGAGCCCAAGUAUGCAUAUGAAAUAUCAGACAGUGAUGGAGACAAGGCAUUCAGGCAGAAAACUUACAUAGAACCUCAUGAGCAGUCAAUCUCUUCGCAGGAUCCCGGAUAAGCAUCUUACGGACUAGAUCCUUAGCACUAUCAGAGAUACUUGGCCAUGGUUCAGAUUCCAAAUCAAGUUUGCCUCGCAAAAUCUGCCUGAAGAUCCCUGCUUCACUCUCUGAAGGGAGGGGGAAAUAGGGAAAAAACACAUGUAAACAUGCCAAAGUAGGUGAACAGAAAUGGAUCUCAACCUAGCAAUUCAACAGUUUACCUGCCCAGAAUGGGGGUACACCACAUAGCAAAAUGUACAAAAUCACUCCAGCGCUCCAUACAUCAGCUUCUGGGCCAUAGCAUUUUUGAAGCACCUCAGGGGCAACAUAAUAGGGGCUCCCAACAACGUCAGCAAACUUAUCACCUGGAGAAUGGAAAGGGACAACUUUCAGUGUGUGUUCUGUUAAUCACUUAUUAAGCAAGCAGAAGAGAACACUAAAUCAACUGAAGACUUCAUUAAUCACUAUGCAUAAUAACAGCUGACAUUUAACACAAAUCCUAUUAGAUGUGUACAAGAAAAGGCAGUUCUUGCCAACAACCUUGAAAGCCUUAUUAGUAUAUUUAAGGAUUAAGUGUUAGAUGUUAUUAUAGUUUUGAUGUCUGUGAUAGAUUUUUUUUUAUGCUAGCAAAUGAGAUGCUAUGCAAAUGACACAUACUUAAAUAGGCUUGCUGAUGUACCAAAACAACUAAUAAGAGCACUACUCCCUACCAAACGCAAUGCUAGCCAUUUGCCCCACAUAUCACUAGAGUGUGAGGGGCCAUAUAGCAACAUUAUAUUAUACAGCACAAAAUUUCAAACCAAACAGCCUAAACAUUGCAUAGAUACGCACCGGGCUUGUAGAACACGGAGAGCCCAAAAUCAGUGGCCUUGAGCGGGGCAUCCUCGGCGGUGCUCGCGAAGAGGAAAUUCUCUGGCUUGAGGUCCCGGUGCAUGACACCGAGCGAGUGGCACCCCUGCACCACCCCAACAAUCGUCCUGAUGAGCUGCGCCGCGGCGCGCUCUGUGUAGUGGCCCUUGGCGACGAUGCGGUCGAAGAGCUCGCCGCCAGCGCAGAGCUCCAUGACGAGGUGGACGAAGAGGGCGUCCUCGUACGCGCCGCGGAUGCGGACGACGUUGGGAUGCUCGGAGAGGUGGUGCAUGAUCUGGAUCUCGCGCCACGCGUCCUCGUAGUCCUCGCGGCACAGCAGCUUGCGCUUGGGGAUGGACUUGCACGCGUACUCGGCGCCGUCCGCCUUGCCCACGCACUGGUACGUGGUGCCGAACUGCCCCUGACCCAGCUUCUUCCCGAUGCGGUAGUGGUCCCGCACGUUGUCCGUCUUGUGCGGCAGCACCGACGCCGGCCGCCCACCCGACCCCGCCGUCACCGGCGGCGGCAGCCGCACGUGCGCAUUGGCGCCGCCCGCCUUCCCCCUGCCCGGGCCUUGCGGGUCCGGCUGCAUUGCCUUCGGCGGCGGCGGUCCCUCCUCGGAUCAAGAACCGUAACCGAACGGACGCCCUGCCUUUCCUCGGCAAAACGUGGCGAGGCUCGACCACCGACCAGAAAUGGAAACCUUUUCCAACUCCGGGGGUGAUUCUAGAUUACUUUCCGAGGAAUUUACACCGAUCGAAACCGAACAACUGAAAAGAUUGGAUCUCGGUGCGGGGAACCCUCGCCUGCGGGGAAUCUGGGGGAAUGGCUGACGAAUUGGGCGCGGCAAAGGAGCUUUAGCGGAGGUUUAUCGGCCUACGCACGCCGAGGAACGGAGAAGAGAAGCCAACGGCAAGGCGAAGACGCGAAGCAACGGGAUUGCUCUGUUUCCCUGCUCCCUUUUGGAUUGAUUGAUCGAUUCUUGCGGGGGAUUUAAAGAGAGGUCACAUGCGAAGGUUGGAUUUUUCCUCCAUGUGAGGGUGGAAAUCUAAUCGGCCAGGUUUGGUGAUUGCUCGGGGCUUGGAUUGGGUCUGCAAAUGGGAACGGAUCGCUAGAGCAUGUGGGGGAGCACGUCGGUGGUUAUCGUCUUCGCCUCCUUGGCGAGAGGCGGAGGAGAGGGAGGGGGGGAAGACAGGACACGGGAGGAAGACAACGUGGUCGGAAACUUCCCUUUCCAUUUGUUUUAUUAUUUAUUAUUGUUAUUAUUUAAUUUGUUUUCCUCCCUUUAUUAUCCAAGUAGUAUCUCUUGCCACUCACUUACUGGAUCUGUUAAAUAGAUAUAUAUACUCCUACCAUAAAAAGAACUUUUAACUGCAUAUCCUUUAUGACGAAAUGGCUUUGUAGUUUCUUUUAUUAUCCUUUCAAUCUAAAAGUCUUUAUAAAGACUAACUUUGAAACUGAUGGUAUAUUUACCUCUCUAUUUAAUUAGGAUAUUAGAGUUCUUACACCGAUUUAAGACUAAUUGUGAUUUUACUCUUAUUUUUUGUGUGAUCUUACCUUGAUUGUUUUUUAAAAAAAUUGUAGCCACCGUUUGCCCUAGUUUCACCCUCAUUAGCUAAAAGCAAAUAAAUGAUUAGAAAAUAAAAAACUAUACUAACCCCUGAUUUUAUUCUAACUCUCCCGGCUUUCGUCAAUGCUUAAUUACACAUGUGUAACUUGUUAUAGUUUGCUUAGAUUUGGAAUAUCUUUAAAUUGAUUUCAUAUUGAGUCAACUUUUUUUUACUAUAUUGAGUCAACUCCUGUUCAACGUCAAUCCUUUAGGCGCUGAUGGAGCUCUUUUGUAAAAAAUAAUAAUGUUUCAAAAAUAUUGACCAAAUUUUGAUAUUAAAACAGAGGUUAAAAUCAUAGAGAACUCAAAAUACAUGGGGGCGAAUUCACAUGGAAAAUGUAGUUUUUUAUGCCAAAAUGACAGUAAACAGAUCAAGGUAAGCUCUCCUUCAUUUUGAUACGAGACUUUAAACAAGGGUAAAACACAGAAGAGCCACCUUUUAAUCUGAUUGCAAUGCCUUGACAAACUAAUAUUGACACGUCAUGGGAAAAGUUCAAAACUAUAUAUUCUCAAAUAAUUUGUUCAUAAAGCUAAGGUGAUAUAUUGGCACCCUAAUCUAGUUCUAGUGUGAACUGGUACGGACUAGUUAAUAAAUGAUGGUACGCAUCGAUCAACUAAUUCCCUUCAUUAACUUGUCCAAUUUGAGGCUGAUAAAUUAAAUUGAGAACACACUGUUAAAAUCAUGCCAAUUCCACAAUUCGGGGCCCAUAAUUUCAUCUCCUGAUUGAUGAUGGUAAUGUAGUUCUAUAAUAUGUGCCUUUUGUCUAAUAGAUAUCAUUCUUCAUUUACAAGUCAUUCUAAUGCAAUUCCAACAAUCAAUUAUUGGUUUUUCUGCGUCCAAACUAGUGCUAUAAUAUGCACGUUUCUUUUAAUUAGACUAACCUCUUCAACUACAUGUUAUUUAUUGACUGAGCUCCAGUUUCACCUGCUGCAUGUAUUUGCGACGCUAUUAUCGUACUAUAGUAAAGCUAUUUCUCUUGCUCUCGAAAAUGAAUCGAAAGUUGUUGAAGCCAUUUAUCUUCUUUUUGCUCUAGGUCCACUAUAAUGCAGAAGCUAGAGCUUGUACAAGCCUUGCAAAAUGAAACUUUUUGAUGAAUAAUUCUUUAUUUUUAGAUAUAUAAGAGCAUCUUCUAGAGUUCCCCUAUCCAAUUUUUAGGUCAAAUUAAGGUUCGUCAACAAAAUUCACCCUCCAACGGUCCCAUAUCCAUCCUCCUACAUUAGUGCUAUCCUAAAUUAUACUCUCCCUCAAAUUUGAGAGGACAUAUUGUCUUUCCUAUAUGUUAUUUGAGAUAAGGGAAUUGUUGGAGGACAAAUAUCUAGGAAAAAAAUAGUUAGGAUGCACUGCAUUUGAGAAUAUAGGAGAAUCAAGUUUAGAAUGAUUCUUGGAGAUGCUCUGUGGAGACCAUACAUGUAGUUUUUUUUGGGGUUGGGGGGGGGGGGAGUUUCUCAACAAUGUCUUUGAAUUCUUAUUUUUAUUGUUGUUACUUUAAAUAACAAUGAUCUGUAAGAAAAUAAAGUUUUUCAACAAUGUCUUGAAUUCUUAUUUUUAUUGUUGUUACUUUUGAAAAUGGAAGGUACUUGUGCGAGUUGUGUAAAAAAAGAAAACCUAUCUGUCAUACCAAUGAUAAAUCCUGAAUUACAUCAAAAUUUUAUUUCGAUAGGUAUGAUACUGUAUAUAGUGGCACAUUGCAUCAUCAAAAAUUUCUUAUGACUUGCAUAAAAUUAUUUGAUGUCCCCAUUUACACGUUUGAUGGGUUCAUGGGCGUGUUUGGUUUGCAUCUAUAAAGUUUAACUCUCAUUACAUCGAAUGUUUAGACACAUGCAUAGAGUAUUAAAUAUAGAUUAUUUACGAAACUAAAAACAAAACUAGAAAGUAAUUUGUGAGACGAAUCUUUUGAGCCUAAUUAGUCUAUGAUUAGAUACUCAUUGUCAAAUAAAACGAAAGAGCUACAGUGCCUGUUAAACUUUAACAACUCCAAUCAAACACCCCCUUAUGUUUUUUUACAACACACUGUUAGCCUACCAAUAUUCUUGACAUAUAUUCUCAUGAAAAAAAAUAUUUGCAAAGACGAAUUGAGGAGGAAGAUGUGUAAAGGAAUGAACAAUAAUGCUAAACAAGAACACACUGGAAGCAUAUAAAAAUAAAUAAAAUAUGAAAUGAUAGUGAAAGCCGUUAAUUUUUCAAUGAGAACGUGCGUCCCCACUAAUCACGUCUCCUUGUCACCUUUGACUUCUUGCACCAAACUCAUGGGCAAGUCUUCCGAUGAACCCCAAAUUAAGCAUUAGAUUCUCCUCAACGAAAACGUCAGAAAACAAAUCGCAGAAAAAAUCGAGUGUUUCAUGGCUCUCUCAGACUGCUGCCGUUGCUUUUUUUUGUUCUUCCACUAAAAUUAAGGGGUCAGAACAGUGUUUGUGAAAUUUCUUGGUAGAGUCGCAUAUAUCAGGUUUCACGCACCGAUCAAAUGGACCUAAAAACUUAAGUUAAUGGAAAAAUAUGGACAAUCCACUUAUAUUUCAACACUCCCACUUAUAUGCAACCGCAUAUAAGAUGCAAACGUGGAAAUAAAAGAGCGGAGGGCUUAAAUAAUGCCUCUGUCAAGAUUCGGACUCAUCACAUCAUAUCUGUUUUAUUCAUAUCCACCGUGUUUUGGUUUUCCAUGUUCCAUUAGUCGUGAUUUCAUUUAUUUCCAUCAUUAUUACAUAGUCAAGCGGCAUGGGCAAAUAAUGAAUCUUGAUGUCAGACAUUUGGACCUCAUCUUGAUCACCGUCCCUUCAGAGUAAAUUGUAGGGUACUACCCUCUCAGUCUCUCUCACACACACAAACAAAAGAAUAAUUAUACUGAACCGUUGAUCUCUCGCUCUGUUCAUCAGUACGGUUGGUACUGAUAUUGUUGCUGCGAUCAAGCAAAUGAGGAGUAUGAUUGUUAUUGACAUUGUUUUUUUUUUCAGAAGGUAAGAAAGUAAUCACUGCUACAGCCAUGACUGAACAAUUAGUAGGAAGAAGCUAGCCGAUUUAUACUGUACCUAAGAGUAGAAUUUAAGUAUUACCAGUUCCGUCCUCUUUGAUCUUGGGAAGCAUCACCCCCAACUGGGAGGCAGAGACUAGUUAAAUCACAGUCACAGCACAUGAUUCACAGACCAUAUGACCAAAUUAAAUAUAUAUACUUGAUCCCUCCCCAAUCAGUGUGAGUAACUUUGUUAAUCUCCACUUGAACAAGGAUGGGAGACAUCAGCCUCGGCAACGUAAACAUAGACAAAGGGAAGCCAAGUCAGUACCCACUCCUAAUCUCCUAUGCAAUCUCUUCUGUAUUCUUACUGGUCUCAUGGAUUUACGAGGCACUGCAAAGAAAGAUUGCCAUGCAUAUCUCUUGGUCUCUCAGGAAUCAUAUGCCAAGUCAUAUCAAUGACAAAUUCCUUUGGGCACAUGCCUCAACAGUACAACAAAGAGAAACAUCUCUCAUCACAAAUUGUCAAGAGCGUCAAGCCCUUGACUGGCAGGACCGCGGCUACGAAGCUCGUAGCCGUCGGCCGUCUUCUCCGGUGAGGUUAUACCCCUCUACCGUAGGCUUAGGUUUUAGAAAAGAGACAGGAGACAGGAAAUAAUUGUUAUUGCUUGUUUAUAUCAAUAGAGUCUACAGAUAUUUAUGUCCCUUCUACCUUACUCCUUUUUGCUAAAUAUCCUAUUUGGGACUAAUAUAAAUUGCUAGUACAAAGAUAAUUAAAGAUAACUGGGCCUAUGUUAGCCCCUGGACAGCUCCUGGGACUCCUGGGCCGCGCCCUCGACGCGCUGAACGCGCUCAGCCGCGCGCCUAACGUCCCGAGCCCGACGACGUCUGCUGUACGUAUUACCGUACAUGACAUCUCUCCCCUCCUCCAGUACCAGCUCGUCCUCGAGCUGGAACGUCGGAAAACGUUCGCGGAACGUAUCCCAGUCUUCCCAAGAUGAUGACGAUAGUGGCUCGCCCUUCCAACGCACCAAGACCUGUCGCACUCCUCUUGCCAGUCGCGAACGUUCCAGUCGCUCCGGCUCUGGAACUGUGGCGCCGUUGUGGAUGACGGGGAGAGGCGGGGGACUGGUUGGAGGGUCACCCUGCCACUUUUUCAAGAGCCCGAUGUGGAAAACAUCAUGGAGUCGAGCUCGGGCCGGAAGAGCCACUCGGACGGCCACCGCGUUGAUCACCUCCGUGACCUGGUAGGGCCCGAAGAAACGGGGCUUCAACUUGCCGGACGAUGGUUCCAGCGAGGCGAUGGGGCGGUGGCGAAGACGCAGCAGAACCCAGUCGCCCACAGCAUAAGACACCUCCCGAUGAGUCUUGUCAUAGUGACGUUUCUGAACGGCCUGGGCUUGUUCCAAACGGAAGCGGAUGUCUUGCAGAAAUUCUUCCCGCUCGGCCAUGGUCUUGGCCACGGCCGCCACGCGUGUCUCCCCUGCUUCAUAGGAGCGUAUGGUCGGCGGAUCCCGGCCAUAAACAAUGCGGAACGGAGUGUCGCGGAGGGACGACUGAUAUGCGGAGUUGUAGAUGAACUCAGCCUAAGGAAGCCAUCGGAGCCAUUGACGGGGACGGUCGCCGGUGAAACAACGCAGGUACAUGGUGAUCACCUUGUUCGUUGCCUCAGUCUGGCCAUCUGCUUGCGGGUGAAAUGCCGAAGUCAUGUGCAACUUUGUUCCCAUAAGCCGCAUGAGUUCACGCCAAAAUGUUGAAGUAAAGAUAGGAUCGCGAUCAGACACCAUAGACUGCGGCAUCCCGUGAAGACGAACGAUGUCGGCGAAGAACGCAGUGGCAACUGAUUCUGCUGUGUAUGGGUGAGCAAGAGGAAUAAAAUGACAAUACUUGCUAAACCUGUCCACCACGGUGAGAAUGACGGACUUCCCGCGAACUUUCGGGAGAGCUUCGACGAAGUCCAGUCCAAUGUCGGACCAUACCGACGACGGCACGGGAAGCGGCAAGAGGAGCCCCGCCGGGUGAAGUUGCUCCGACUUGAGCCGCUAACAGACUCCGCAGGUGCGGAUGAAAUCUUGCACGUGGUGGCGCAUCCUGGGGAAAUGAAAGUCACGCCGGAGUCGAUGUAGGGUGCGCUGGACUCCCUCAUGGCCGUCAUCGUGGAUAGCAGUCAUGAUCUCCAGGAGCAGCGGGGACGAAGGCGCGAUGUAGAGGCGGCCUGCAUAAGUGACCAGACCAUCGCGGACAGCCCACGGUGAAAUGCGGGUACCUGCCAAAAUCUCUUCUCGGAGAGCCACUAGGGCCGGAUCCUCGGCGUGUGCUUGACGUAGCUUGUCGAUGAAGUCGAAGCGCGGCGCUGACAAGGCAAGCACCACUCCCGUGCUGUCUUCCGUGUCGCGGCGAGAGAGAGCAUCAGCGACCACGUUCUGAGUGCCCGGCUUGUACUCCACCUCAAAGUCGAAUCCCAAAAGCUUCCCGACCCAAUGAUGUUGAGGGAUCGUAGCGAGCCUCUGGUCCAGCAGGAACUUUAAACUGUAGUGAUCUGUGCGCACGGUAAAGUGGCGGCCCCAGAGGUAUGGACGCCAAUGACGGACGGCGUGAACGAGGCCGAUCAGCUCCCGCUCAUACGCAGCGAGGGAGCGGUGACGUGGCGCGAUCGGCCGACUGAAGAACGCGAUCGGGUGUUUCUCUUGCAAGAGCACUGCGCCGAAGCCAUGCGUCGAAGCAUCACAUUCGACCACAAACGGCUUGCUGAAAUCUGGAAGAGCGAGUACCGGUGCUGUGGUUACGGCCGCCUUCAAUGCUUCAAACGCCGCAGCCGCCUCCCCCGACCAUGAGAAACCGUCUUUUUCAAUAGUGCCGUCAGAGGAGCUGCAAUGGCGCCGUAGUUGAGGACGAAACGCCGGUAGUAUCCUGCCAAGCCGAGGAAACCACGAACCGCGCGUGCCGACUUGGGCACCGGCCAGUCAUGGAUGGCCUGUACCUUGGCCGGGUCCAUGGCCACGCCCGUCGCUGUGAUGAUGUGGCCAAGGUAGGAGACCGACGUGACGCCGAAAGCACACUUGGACCUCUUGACAAAGAGGUGCUGGCGGCGGAGUUCGGUCAAAACCACCCGAAGAUGUCGAAGAUGAUCUGCCCACGACGCACUGUAAAUGAGGAUGUCAUCAAAGAAAACGAGGACAAACCGACGAAGGAAUGGUCGUAGGACGUCGUUCAUCAAGGACUGGAAUGUCGCAGGCGCGUUGCACAGGCCGAAUGGCAUCACCAAGAACUCAUAGAGACCGUCAUGCGUGCGGAACGCGGUCUUGUGGACGUCCUCGGGCUUCAUGCGCACUUGAUGGUAGCCCGAACGCAAAUCGAGCUUGGUGAAGAAGCGAGCACCGUGAAGCUCGUCCAGAAGCUCCUCCACCACUGGGAUUGGGAAGGCAUCCUUGACGGUGAGUGCGUUCAACGCGCGGUAGUCUACGCAGAACCGCCAGGAUCCGUCCGGUUUCUUCACGAGGAGCACCGGCGAGGAGAACGCCGAUGUGCUGCGGCGUACGAUCCCUUGCUCGAUCAUGGCUGCACACUGGCGUUCCAGCUCAUCUUUGUGGGCUGCCGGAUACCUGUACGGGCGCACCGCCACCGGUGACGCGCCGGGCUUGAGUAGGAUCGGAUGGUCACGGCCGCGUGGGGGGGAAGACCCACCGGGGCAGCGAAAACGUCCCCAAAAGAAUCCAGCAGGCCCUCCAACAGUGGCUCGCCCGUGGAUGCUGCUUGCUCGCGGGUGGUUGCUGCGUGUACCGUGGGCGCCGUCUUGCACGCUACUCCCGACCAACAGAUAGGCCGGCCGCCGUGAUGGAAGGACAGGGUGUGGGUAGCGACGUCCCAAGCGAUGCGCCCUAGGGUCGCCAUCCACUGGGUACCCAGCACCAUGUCAUAUCCAGUGAGGGGCAUGACGUAAAGGUCGACGUCGAACGUCAUGCCCUCGAUGGAGAUAGGUGCGUGCCGAAGGACGCCUGGGCAUGCCACCUUCUCGCCAUUGGCGACUGUGGCAGUGAGCCGCGGCCGGGGUAGGAUGGCGAUCCCGGUGCGGUGUGCUGCCGCCUCGCCGAUGAAGUUGUGCGUGGACCCCGUGUCGACCAGGGCGACGAGCGUGGCGGCGCCCAAGGUGACCCGAAGCAGGAUGGGCGCGCCCACUGUCACGCCGGCCACAGCAUGGAGGGAGAAAACGGGAGUCUCUGCAGCCGCGUCGUCCUCCUAAUCAGCAGCACCUCCAUCGACGUCAUCAAUCUCCACACCAUCCAUGAAGAAGAUGCGGCGGCAGAACCUGUUAUGGCCACGUGAAUACUUUUCGUUACAAUUGAAGCACAGACCUUGGCGGCGGCGCUCGGCCAUCUCUUCCGGGGUGAGGCGGCGUUGGUUUCCUUCGACUCGGCCCUGCUGAGCAGCCGCAGGUGGUGCCGGGAGCGCCAAGAGAGGCGGUGGAGCCGGCGCGACAGCCCGCACCAUGGGAGCCGGUGGUCCGCGCUGAGGUACCCGCGGUGGAGGUGGCGUCGGUCGCUCCUGCUCCAUCAACUCGAUCUGGCGGGCCAGGCUCAUGGCGGCGGAUAGGGAGUCCGGGCUGUGGAUGCGGACGGCGUGGCUGAGUGGCGGUAGGAGCCCUCCUGUGAAAAGUUGGACCCGUUGUGCCUCAUCCAGGCGACCGGCGCGAGGCAACAAUGCCUGGAACCAAUUGGCAUACUCCUCCACGGUCCCUGUCCGGCGGCACUCGACGAGUUCAAACAACGGGGCGGAACGGAGGGGAGGGCCGAACCUCAAAUUCAGCAGAUCCUUGAAAUUUCCCCAUAGCGGCGUGCCAUCAUCUUCCUGCAGCUGUUGGAACCACAGCUGUGCGGUGUCGUCCAGAUGAUACGACGCCAUGCGCACGCGCUCUUCUGCCAUGGUUCGGUGUUGGCGAAAAUAAGCCUCGCAUUUGUUGAGGAACAGCAUGGGAUCGGUCGUGCCGUCGAAGCGGGGGAAGUCCCACUUCUUGUGCUUCGGGUGGAAGUCCUGAUCGUGCAGACCCUCCAGGCGUCUGCCGUCGGCGCCACCGAACGACGAUGACUCGGACUUCUCCUUCAUCGAGGCCAUGUCGGCCUUCAAGGUCGUCAUCUCGUCGGACAUAGUCUUGAGCUGCGCGAGGACAUCGGCCAGGGUGGGUUCAGCCAUGGUUGGGGACUGUGCAGUGGACGCUGUGGAGGGGGUCGGGAAGAUGGCUGCUGGGCGAGGUGGGCGGCGGCGGCGGCGGCGGGAGGUGGAGCGGAGGCGGAGGUAGAGGAUCGCCGGAUAGCUGAUACCAAGUUGUCAAGAGCGUCAAGCCCUUGACUGGCAGGACCGCGGCUACGAAGCUCGUAGCCGUCGGCCGUCUUCUCCGGUGAGGUUAUACCCCUCUACCGUAGGCUUAGGUUUUAGAAAAGAGACAGGAGACAGGAAAUAAUUGUUAUUGCUUGUUUAUAUCAAUAGAGUCUACAGAUAUUUAUGUCCCUUCUACCUUACUCCUUUUUGCUAAAUAUCCUAUUUGGGACUAAUAUAAAUUGCUAGUACAAAGAUAAUUAAAGAUAAUUGGGCCCGUGUUAGCCCCUGGACAGCUCCUGGGACUCCUGGGCCGCGCCCUCGACGCGCUGAACGCGCUCAGCCGCGCGCCUAACGUCCCGAGCCCGACGACGUCUGCUGUACGUAUUACCGUACAUGACACAAAUUUUGACCGGGCAGUUUGCAACCUUAUGCAUGUUCAUUCAUAUAUCUUUCACAUAUUUUUACAAGAUAGUUUGCAGAUAAGCAUUGAGCAUAAUGAUGGCCAAGUGGAGGAUGCUCUUAUUUUUCUGGAGCAAUCCAAGUGGAGGAUUUUUAUACAAACUUGACUUUGUUAUGCCUGACGACUCAUUCACAUGAUAGCUUCCUUUGACCAUAUAUUAUACUAAGUUGCUAGCCACUAACCAAAGAUUCAGAAAAGGAGGCCUCAUCUGGACAUGCUACAGUGCUGAUCAUUCAAACUCAAAGCUUUAACAUUCCAGGUCACCAUUGUUGAACUGCAAGAAGAAGAAGAAAAGCUAGCUGGUAAAUAGUGUUGCCCAUGAUCCUACAACAUUGGUUGAUUGUUGAUCAGAGUCAGACCUUUAAAGUAAGCAUUCCAGAACAGCAUGAUUCAGCUCCCAGAAAAAACCACUAGUGAUUAUCAUGAUUCCACAGCUGUGCAACAGAUUUAUGUUGCUCCGAGUCUUCAGAUUUUUCCUGUGUCAUGUGUGGAUGGAUGAGAUCUGGCUUUCUGCUCUCAUGGUUCCAUGAACCUCACCAACCAACACCUGUGGGGCAGUGGCAAGCUUCGGUCAUCAUUAGUCGUUAGCACUGGCACAAGCUCAUGGAUGCAAAUGGUACAUGUCCUUGACUGAUGCCGUUGCACCAUGCCAUCUAGUUCACCGACAAGUGACAACAACAUACAGAUCGAAGCAGUGGCACAGGGUUUUGUUUGCAGGCACAGCACUGCAGCAGGUAACAUGCAAAAGGAUUUCUCUAUUUGCAGUACUGAAAAGGGACCCAUAUAUGUUGGUGCUGGACCCCUGAACUGAAAUAGGUCCUAUAACUCUAAUGGGGGGUCAUUCAAACAAAAAAGUUAUGUUGUAGAGCUAAAUAGGCCCAUCAUGAGCUCUAAGAAAUAUCAGAAUAGAGCUAAAGAAGGCUCAUCUUGGGCUCUAAAUAAUAUCAAAUAUUGGUGGAUGCAACCAUCCUAGGCUAAGCUUGCAGUUUUAGGACGAAUCUUUCUUUAAGUAAAGUACUAAAUUUGCAAGUCAAUUAUCCUCAAGCCAGCAUUCAAGUGGUGUAUGUCAACAGAAACAUAUAGCUUGUUCCAGAAACAUGGUUAUGGAAAACAGUGGCUUUAGCAUGAGGUAGAACAGAGAGAAAGAUAGAAAAGACCCGACGCCCGCGUCGCUCUCCCUCGAGGGUGACCGGGCGGCCCCAUCUGCCGCCGCCGCAGGUCCCUCCCCAGCGCCUUCUUGGCCCGGCCACCGCCGGAGCUUGACACCGGGAAUCCAACGGACGGCAAGGACGGCGGCGGCUCGGCCCUCUGCAUCCUUUCUCUCCCUCUCGCUAAGCCUAUGCGGGAGUUCCGACGCCGACACAGUGAAGAUGGCCGGCGACGCUUCUUCGGUGUGGGUGUGGGCGGAUCUGGCUCCCCCAUGCCCGGAUCAAUGUGCAGGCAACCUCCUACCUCCUCCUCCUCCUCCUCCUCCUCCUCCUCCGCUGCCACUUCAUGUUCCUCUUCUCCGACUCCGGUGAGGUUGGGGCGGCCGGUGUGCUCGUCAGGCCCAGAUCUGCAGUCUCCGCACCGGUUUGCGCAUCCCCUGCCUCUUCUUCCUCUUCUCUGCCGACUCCAGCAACCUCGAGUGCUCGGCGGCCGUGACGGUGUGCGGCAGCCGCCGCGCAUGACGGAGGGUCUAUCUGGAGAUAAGAUGAGACGGCGUUCCACGAUGAGGGAGGAUCAUGACGCGGAUGUUGUUGCUGCUGCAUGAGCAUGUUGGGUGGGGCGGACGUGUCGUUCUCAUGCAGCGGCAGCCUGCUCUUCUACCUAGGUCUCAGUCCACCGUCCCCGUGUGGCGGUGGACGGCACCAACAUCUCUUCACCAAGAGACCUCUUGGUCGGUGUUGGUGCGCGCCUCUGCGACGUGUGGCGGCGACUGACACUAUCGGUGCGCGCCUCCCGUUGUCGUGGGCGAGUCUGCCGGUGCGCGCCUCCUGUCGUCGCGGGCGAGUCCGAACGGCUCCGCGGCAUGUGGCGGCGACUGGUAACGCCAAUGCGCGCCUCCUGUUGUCGCGGGCGAGUCCGAACGGCUCCGCGACGUGUGGCGGCGACUGGCACUGCCGAUGCGCACCUCCUGUCGUCGCGGGCGAGUCCGAACGGCUCAGCAGCGUGUGGCGGCGACUGGCACUGCCGAUGUGCACCUCCUGUCGUCGCGGGCGAGUCCGAACGGCUCCGCGGCGUGUGGCGGCGACUGGCAGCGAUAGUGUGAGCCUCCCGUUGUCGCGGGCGAGUCCGAACGGCUCCGCGGCGUGUGGCGGCGACUGGUUGUGCCAGUGCGCGCCUCCCAUUGUCAUGGGUGAGUCCGAAAGGCUCCGUGGCGUGUGGCGGCGACUGGUCGCGCCAGUGCGCGCCUCCCGUUGUCGCGGGCGAGUCCGAACGGCUCCGCGAUGUGUGGUGGCGACUGGCACUGCCAGUGCGCGCCUCCCGGCGUCUCGAGCGAGUCUGUAGGGCUUCGUGGCGUGUGGCGGCGACUGACAUUGCCGGUGCGCGCCUCCCGUCGUCGCGGGCGAGUCCGAACGGCUCCGCACGACAUGUGGCGACGACCGGCAGGAACACUUGCAAAUAUUUCUGGGCGAAAGCUCAGCUCAGAUCAUGUCUGGGCCAGUGACAAGAUUUUCCUUCUUAAAGGUGUCGCUGAAGAACAUUUAGCCGCUUCUUCUCAUGGGCCAUUUGUUGCAGCUUUCCGUCGGCACAAGGCUCAGGCGAAAGCCUUGCCACGCUUCUGCUUGGCUACGAUGAUUACGUUCUAACGUCAUUCACCUCCUUGGGGGCAUCGUCAAAGAGCUUUCGUGUCUCACGUGUGGUAGUCCUUGCUUUUCGUUUGUGUUUUUGUUUUUGUGGUUUUUGCCACUUUUCGCCCUAAUGCUGGGGCUGUUCGGUGUUGUUGUAGUUUCUUCCUAAACUUUUGUAAAAUUUAUAUCAAGCCGUUUUGAGCUACAUUAUAUAUUUUUAGGUGGGGAGUAAUCCUCCGGUGACAUUAAAAAAAACAGUAGCUUUAGCCUACCUUCCAAAUGAAGAUUGGAGAAGAGAGGGAGGGGGGGGGGGCAGGGCACAUUAGAGUAAUUUCAUGAGACACUGCACAUAUUACAAACAUAAUGCGAGUUAUUUCUCCACUUACCUUGCAGAUAAGCAUAAUGCAGUUUCUGGACUGCUUGGGGGUGAUACUAUAUAUGACAGCAUACCUUCUCAAGUUAUUUAUUACUGAGCUGACAGUGUUUUCCUGAAUCCUGACUGACUUAAUGCAACCUCGUUUUUUUGGAAAACAAAGCAAAACGCUAAGGGCACUCCCAAUGCACAAACCAUCGUGGUUUCUAUAGACAUUAAUUAUAGUGUCACCUAAGCAUUUUGCUGAUGUGGCAAAAGAGUUAUUGAAGAGAGAGCAAAAAUCAUAAAAACUAGGUCUAAAUUAGAAACCAUGUCUAAGUUAGAAACUAUGUAUACACAAAAUCCAAGACAUGAAGUGAUCUAAUUGGUUAAGAAUGGAGAGAGAAUGAAUGUGAUUGGGUAAAAAAAUAUUCUAUAGAAACUAUCUAUUGAGACCAUAGUUUAUAUAUAUAGUGUCUAUAAAAAUUAAUACAUAUUUUUUUGAGGAAACAAGAGGAGUACAGGCACUCCUACUGAAAAAUUUAUUAAGGAAAACUAUCUAUUAGGACCAUAGUUUCUAUAUAUAGUGCUAUAAAAAUUAAUACAUAUUUUUUUAGAAACAGGAGGAGUACAGGUACUCCUACUGAAAAAUUUAUUAAGGAAACAUCAUUAAUACAUAUAGAAACUAUAUAUAGUUUUUAGCAUUGGGAGUACCUAAUAUGCUAGGUAAAUUUGGGGAAACUGGGCUAAAGCAAUGACCGCUAAUGACAAGCUACCGAGCUCAAACUAGUGCUCAUCGUUGCCACCAAUUGAUUUAUGCCGGAAUGGCCAACACAAGAUAGGAACUCCAAAGCGAUACCUCCAAGGAAGUGCAUGAGGCUGAAGGCCCUGCCUCGCCGUCCAUAGACCAGAGUUGGGCAUUCACCCAUAUAAUUCAGACAGGUUGUCUGUAUACAAGACCUGGGUCCUCCAAUAAUUAAGGUAGCAAGAUUGUUCCAAGGCUCACAAAGCCAACAUUCCAGAGUCAUCAGUGAUCCCAGUUCCCCAAAACGAUCGAAAGUACUCAAAAGGUAAACGGUCAGGGUUUCAAUGCUGCGCAUAUUUGAGUAGUAGAUAUGACAGAGGAGAUUAAGCACACGACAGUAAGAGUAGAUCAUGCAUUGGUUAUGUCAGUGGUUUCAUUCUCUGAAACAGAAGGGCUGAUAGAUUGCCAUAUGAGACCUAGUGUGCUACCCAUCAUGUUCAUGAUGACAGCUGAGAGUGCAGGAGGGAGGGCGACCAAGGGUGAGGAGAAAUGUGCAGUUGCUAAAACUACCCCUAAGGAUGAGUUUUGCAUUCCUACCUGCAAUCCAGAAGAAGAAAACCUAUAUUAAAAUUUUUCAUAACACCAUGCACAAAUUAAUUCUCUUCAUUGCAGUUCUGAAUGAAUGACAAUCAAGUAGAAAGCAUUGUACAGAAAAACAUGGUCAAAGCAACAGAAUUAUUGUUGCAAGAUUUCUUAUCCGUCCUUGGAACUUAUGAGCUUCGCUCACUACAUACAAUAUAAUAGUCUCUAUGGUCAGAAUACGUGAUGUUUUCAGACAACAUAUGAUCUGCAAAAAUGCAGCCUUGUCUGCUGUUUGUACACCUCUUAAUUUAAAUGUAAGUGUGCUGGAAAACUUGCUUGAUUUGUCUACUUCAGUAUUCUAUACAUGGUUUCAAAACUGGAUAUAUAAAUCCUCCGUUUUACUGGCCAUAUUGAUUGGGAAAUGUGGUUAGAUCUGGUCAGGAUCCAUACCUCAAUAGAUAUUGCUCUCCUUUGUUUUUCUUUGAAACCACCAAUAGCUGCUGCCGCAUAACUGUUUGUCAUAGAGCCAUGUAAACAUUUAGAAAUCUGGAUGACAAGUGGCGACAACUUCUGAUACAAAAUUUGUGAAGCGCACUACACAUAAUCUGUUUGUCACACUCACCCAACAAAGAAACCAGCAAAAUGCAGCAAGAAGACAGAGAGCAUGACAAUGCCAAUAUCCCUGGAGAAGAAGUUCCCACUCACAGAGGAUGCAUCGGCAAUUGUCGAUCUUAGGCGCACAAAGUUCUCAGAGAAGACACUGUAACAUUAAAAAAGGGUUAAAAGGAUGCAGAGUUUCUGCUAUUCCCAAGCCAAUAUGACAUGGUAAAGGAUCUGAACCUGCAUGCCAGAAGGGAUGAAGCCAAGACUGCCAUCAGAGGUGCAAAAGGAGUCACAAAUUGAACUACUGAUGGGAAUGCAGUUUGUAUCGAUGAACCUAAUAGAAUUGGGGCAACCACCACCUGAAGGGGAAAAUGGUUAGAGAAAACAAGAAUAACUUUUGUUAUGCACAAAUGGCAUCAGAAAUUUCACCUGCAAAGUACUGAGGGAGAGCUUCACAGCAUCCACGGGAAUAUAAGCACCGGCAAGAAUUUUUGUUAACAGAGGAGUAAGGAACACUGCAGCAAGAGUGCUGCAGACAGUCAUCACGAUGGAUAAUGGAACAUCACCUUGAGCAACUAAAGUCACCUGCACCACCAAACGAAACAAUUAGGUAAGAUGUGUACAUUUCUGCAAUUCUGCUUUUAGUGCGUGUAUAGGAACAUCAAAACUGCUAGCUUAUACUGAAGUUAAAAACAACCAAAGUACUCUACUACUAUUGGCAUCUCAAUUCCAAUGUUCAAUGAACACAAGAGUGUGAACACUGAAUUGCAUAGUUUGGCCCUUGAAGCUUUCAGUUCACGUAAGUUUCAGUACAUAUAUAUCCAACAAAGUGAAAUUUGGCCAUAGGAAUAAAAGAGAAGGGGACCCAAAAAAAAAAAUCCCCACUCUGUAACAGAAAUUGGGAGUGCGUGACAAGCUGGGUUUAGCUGACAGUGUUACCACAUUGGAUGCAGUUCCUCCAGGACAGCAUCCCAGCAGGAUUAGUCCAGCUGAGAGGGGCGGGGGAAGCCCCAGCGCGUGGCUAACGAUGGCGCCAAACGCCGGCAUUAUGGCGUACUGCGCGGCACACCCGAACAGAAUCUGCAGCAGCAAAAACCACCCUUCAGGUUGCAUUGCACGGGACGGGAGGAGAGGGAGAUCGAGGAGCAACAAGGGAUCCGGGUCCGGUCACGUACGGCGAGGGGCCUGUCGCGGAGGAGGGCGGCGAAGUCCCUGAGCUGGAGCGCGAGGCCCAUGGCGAGCAUGAUGAAGCCGAGCGUGGCGGUGUAGGACCCCGGCGCCAGCGCCACGAACCACCGGAACGCCUCGGGCCGCGCGACGGCCACGGAGGCCGGGUACAGCCCCGCCGCCGCGGACAGCGCCGCGUGCCACCGCGGCGUGGGCGCUGGCGCGUCGGGGCCUCCGGCGGGUGCCGCGAGGCAUUGGACUUGGGCUUGGAGGGCGGGAAGGCGCAGGAGCAGGCGCCGCCUGGGGAAGGGGCGAGGGGACCGUGGCCUCGGCGCGAUCCUCGAGGUGGAGCUCCCGGCGGCGGCGGGGAUGGGGCGGAGGCGGAGAGGGAGAGAGAGGAGGAGGGGAGCCAUGGCGGUGGCGCGAUCCGGGAGGUGGAGCUCCCGGCGCGCGGUGGUUGGUUUUUGUCCCGUGCAGAGCAAGUGAAGUGUAGCGCAGAUCAUUUUGGCGGGCACCGUUGUAAGGCGGAGUUCCUGAAAAUACGCCUUCACCUAUCGAAGGCAGGUUCGUAGUGUUCAAAAGAAGAAGGUUGGUUUCGUGGCUUUUCUUUAAUUUUUUUCAUAUAUAAAUUGUGUAUUAGUGGCUUUUCUCAGUCGUAUAUCUAGGACGGUUUUGGUCAUAAUCUUUUUUCCUGAUGUCUUUCAGCUAUAAUAUUGUAGACCGUUUAGAUGUCCGUUAGAAGAGUGUUGUUUGUAUGGUUAAACUCUUCUAGCUUAAUUAUAAUAUUACAUAAAUCUUUUAUGUAUUCAAGAAAAAAGACAUCGGAUAUUAAAAAUCUUUGAGAACUAUAUUAUUUAUUGUCAACGAAGCAAUGAUGGGAGAAAUAUUUGUUUUUUUUUCUACCUAUAAAUGGAGAGGAAGAUACUUGGACAGUUGACGCAGUGCGCGUUACGAUGCUAAAAAGAAACGUCCGUACACCACCUCACCUUGAUGCCGAAAACUAUUUAAAGUUGCAGUUUCAGGUGGGACAACCAGCUGAAAAAUACUUUCUCUUUUUAAUUUUGUGACAUCGAUGAAAGAUGACUCGAGCAGUGUGAUUUUGUUCAGCAUCAGCUCACCUCGAUGCUCCAAUGUCCUCUCUCGCGUCUUAAUUUCAGCAUCGAUAAAAAGCAAUGUUGUGUGUGGUCUUACUGAGCAUUCGCAAUCAGUAGUUAAAUGUCCAUGUUUUGGUAAUGGUAGUAAGCAAAAGGAUUAGGCGAGGAAAGUAGGCGUCCUAUACUGUCAUCUAUUGCAAAUAUAAGAUCUGUCAUUUGGGUGAGGCACUACCACCACCACUACAAUCUUUGUAAAGUACUCCAUAGUUUUAAACUAUAGGUUAUUUUGGUCUUGUUCUAAAUUCAACUUAUAUAGCUUUGACCAAGUUUUUAGAGACAUAUAUGUCUAUAAUAACAUAUUAACAUAUACAAGCUUUUAAAUAAAUGCACUGCCAGGGCCAAGCUAUAUUGUUUUUUUUUUGAGGAAUAUGGAGGGGUUUACACCCCUACAACAUUUAUUAAAAAAAUAAAACAAAGGUAGCAUUACAAGUUCAAUUACAACAAAAGGCUGGAAAAAAAAUCAGCUAACAAAGAAAGACACAAGGAACAGGAGCCUGUAAAUUGCCAGGCAAGUUGCUAAGGCAGAUUUGCAAUCCAUUGUUCAAUUGAUGGGAAGUAGGUCUUUGCCCUUAGUAGAAGAAGGUUCAUUUCCUCCUUGAAGUAGCUCGUUGUCCUGUGCACUGAUGGGUUAACUCCUCUGAAGAUUAGAUCAUUUCUGGCUUUCCAAAUGGCCCACGCCAUGAGGAUGAUUAUUUUCAUGAAGAAUGGGACUCUGAUUUGAUCCUUGAAGCUUUGCAUGAUCUGGAAAGGCUGUAGUGUCUGACCAAUCUGAAUGUUGAUGUAUCCCCAGCUUUGAAUAGCAAAAGGGCAUUCUAGAAACAAGUGUGCCAUCGUUUCAUGUGUUACCAGAUUGCAAAGAACACAGUUAUAGCUGGGAAGAUGCAUAUGUUUCCUUCUCAGCAGUUCUCUCGUGCUUAAUCUGUCUCUUAGAAUCAGCUAAAAGAAAACCUUGUGUUUCAUUUGGCAAGAAGAUGCUCACAGCCACUUGAAGGCUGGGUGAACUGUCUGAUGCCCUUUAAGUUGUCUGUAUGCUAUGUGAACUGAGAAUUUAGCCGAUUGCCAAAUGUAUGACCACUUGUUAGGCUUAGUGUUAGUGUUUGUAUUUACAAACAUCUGUUGCAAAAGGAUCAUUUGUGAGUGAGCCUGUUGUGACAAGGGUAAAUGAAACAAGCCAUGUGUAGGUGUCUGAUCAAUAGUAGCUUUCAGAGUGAUGCUUUUGUUUUUUUGCAAAUGAGAAUAGUUGUGGAAAUUUUUGUGCAGCGACUUCAUCAUCCCAUAAGUCCUCCCACAGCAGACAUGAUUCACCACUCCCCACAUUGACUCUUGACAUCCCUUUGAACUUGAUUAUCAGUUUCUGAAUAUCUCUCCACCAGAAGGAGCCUUUUCUUUGGUUUCCUGGAAGCUUUCCGGAGCUAUAAUAUUUUUCCCAGAUUAAAGACACCCAUGGAGUGGGUUCCUUGUUGAAGAAUUUGAUCAAUAGUGCUUUAUUUUGAGCCUGUAUGUCCAACACUCCUAGCCCCCCAUCCUGCUUUGCAGUGCAUGCAAUUGUCCAAGCUACUUUAGGCUUUUAUCUUGCAUUGAUAUCAGAUCCUCUCCAUAAGCAUAGUUUUCUAAACUUAUCAAUCUUCUCAAUUACAUUCCGUUGCAGUACGAAGGUACUCAUACAGAAAGUUGGCAUGGAGGUGAGUACUGCAAAGCUAUAUUGUAAUUAGGAGGUGCAAAUACAUCCCCUAAAAAUUAUAAAAACAGUGAUUAGGUCUAAAAUUUCACUAUAUAUGUAUCCUCUACGGAAGAUGUCUAUGCACUCACAAGCUAAGUGCAUCCUCCUCUAAUUUACUUUAACUUCGCCACUGGAUAGUUCAAUGUAGUGACGAGAACAAAUCUGAACUAUCUUGGCCUGCAUGCUCUGCUGCCCGGAGUCACCGCACAUGAGGCGCCACAAUGGGUCCAUGGGCCAAUAUAUGCAGAUCAACUACAUUGGACCAGCCAGUGCUGCCAGGGCCUCAUGGGCCAAUGUGUUGCAUCGCGGGCUGGUUGCACACGUGAUUAACCAAGGCACAAUGAUGGUGGUUCGGUAUCUAUAUUUCUUCUUUAUUUCAGGCUUUUUUUUAUCCAUCCAUUCCUUUUUAUGUCUUUCUAAUCCUAAUCUAAAUAGAUUCUGAGUACUCUAAAUAGAACUCUUCUAUAUCUAUACCUAAUAAUAAAUAGGUAAAAUUUCUUGCCACCUUAGAUUUUGGUCCAACUCUCAUCUCUAUUCGGAUUCUGGUUCCUUUGUCCGAUAAUCCUCCUUGUCCGGUAAUCCUUCUUCUCAAGCUGCUAAGCCAAACUAGACACCUUCAAGGAGAUGUUUGGUUGGGGGUAUUAAAAUUUAACAGGUAGCAUUUCGUUUUAUUUGAUAAUUAUUGUGCAAUCAUGGACUAAUUAGGUUUAAAAGAUUCGUCUCACAAAUUAUUCUCUAGCUAUAUUUUUAGUUUUGUAAAUAGUAUAUAUUUAGUAUUCCAUGUAUGUAUCUAAACAUUUGAUGUCGUGGAUGGAUAAAAAGAAUCACAAGUAGCCAAACGGGAGAAGUUCCUGUUGUGUCCAGCUAGGACACAAGACAUGCUGCCCCACACGUCAGCUUACAUCCCAUAUCCAUGCAUCAACCGACCCAACAUGCAUACAUCAUGCAUAUGCACGAGCACCUUAAUUAGCUGCCCACUGACGCAUCCACGCACGUGAUCUCAUGUUGCUUGCGCACACCACUUAUUGCCUUCUUCGGUAACACUGUCCCAACUACACCGGCCAAAACAAACAUUACACUAUAGCCUACACAUCUUCCAUAUACAUCUCACAGAGUGAUUGCCUUCAAGUACAUUAUUUUCUAGUCUAAACAUCUGGAUAACAUUUUUGACCAAUAGAACCUUAGUUCCUCGGCGACCUGAGCGAGAUCAAGACGAGGAUAUGCAACACCAACGAUACGGGGCAAGGUUGAGGAGAGAGGAGACAACGACGUGGAGGAGGCUCCUAAGUCGUUGAGGCAUGCGGCUGCUGGGGCUCCAUCACAUGGACCUGCCAGGCUACUGAGACGCCGUCGCGUGGAGCUACCUAGGUGUUCUCGUGUUGGGAUUAUGUGGCCGCCAGGAUGCUGUGAA